UGGGGAAUAUUGCACAAUGGGCGAAAGCCUGAUGCAGCAACGCCGCGUGAGUGAUGAAGGCCUUCGGGUCGUAAAACUCUGUCCUCAAGGAAGAUAAU
rnacentral:rRNA from 1 species